AUUGAACGCUGGCGGCAGGCCUAACACAUGCAAGUCGAACGAGUGGCGGACGGGUGAGUAAUGUCUGGGAAACUGCCUGAUGGAGGGUGAUAACUACUGGCAACGGUAGCUAAUACCGCAUACCAUCAGAUGUGCCCAGAUGGGCUUAGCUAGUUGGUGGGGUAACGGCUCACCAAGGCGACGAUCCCUAGCUGGUCUGGGAGGAUGACCGGCCACACGGGAACUGAGACACGGUCCAGACUCCUACGGGAGGCAGCAGUGGGGAAUAUUGCACAAUGGGCGCAAGCCUGAUGCAGCCAUGCCGCGUGUAUGAAGAAGGCCGUCGGGUUGUAAAGUACUUUCAGCGGGGAGGCGUUACCCGCAGAAGAAGCACCGGCUAACUCCGGGCCAGCCGCCGCGGUAAUUC
rnacentral:rRNA from 1 species